ACUCCGGUUGAUCCUGCCGGCGGCCACCGCUAUAGGAAUUCGAUUAAGACAUGCGAGUCGAGAGGUGCAAGACCUCGGCGGACUGCUCAGUAACACGUGGAUAACAUGCCCUAAGGUGGAGGAUAAUCUCGGAAAACUGAGGAUAAUACUCCAUAGAUCAUGGAUGCUGGAAUGCUUCAUGGUCCAAAGUUCCGGCGCCUUAGGAUUGGUCUGCGGCCUAUCAGGUUGUAGUGGGUGUAACGGACCCACUAGCCCAUGACGGGUAUGGGCCUUGAGAGAGGGAGCCCAGAGAUGGACUCUGAGACACGAGUCCAGGCCCUACGGGGUGCAGCAGUCGCGAAAACUUCACACUGGGGGUAACCCCGAUGAGGGAAUUCCUAGUGCUAGUACAGAGUAUUAGCUUUUCUUCAGUAUAGAUAGCUGGAGGAAUAAGGGCUGGGUAAGACGGGUGCCAGCCGCCGCGGUAAUACCCGCAGCCCGAGUGGUGGUCGAUAUUAUUGAGUCUAAAACGUUCGUAGCCGGUUCGAUAAAUCCUUGGGUAAAUCGGUCAGCUUAACUGACCGACUUCCGAGGAGACUGCCGAACUUGGGACCGGGAGAGGCUAGAGGUACUUCUGGGGUAGGGGUAAAAUCCUGUAAUCCUGGAAGGACCACCGGUGGCGAAGGCGUCUAGCUAGAACGGAUCCGACGGUGAGGAACGAAGCCCUGGGGCGCAAACGGGAUUAGAUACCCCGGUAGUCCAGGGUGUAAACGCUGCAGACUUGGUGUUGGGGAUCCUUUGGGGGUGUCCAGUGCCGGAGAGAAGUUGUUAAGUCU
rnacentral:rRNA from 1 species